CUGAGUUCUGAGGUCCAGACAUCCCCCCACUUUCAGCUGACAUGAAGAGAGGCUGAAAGAGACAGAAAGUAUGGCGCUUUAACAGAAAAUACUUGUCACAGAGAACCUCUGCAAAGCCUCAGGGCCAGAUUAUGUCCCUCCUUCCACGUUGAAGCACCGUGCUGACUCCAGACCAGUCGCCCUGACGUCUGUGGAAAUUAAGUCAUUUGAGCACCUCUCCUGUCCUUCCUGGCCAUCACCGAGCCUUAUCUGGACCCCCUGCAGAUCACCUACAGAGCCAACAGGUCUGUAAAUGAUGCAUUAAAUAUGGCUUUCAAUCUCAUCCUCCAGCACCUGGACUCUACAGGAACCUAUGUCAGGAUUUGUCUGUUUGUGGAUUUCGGUGCCACCAUCCUGGCCUUGCUACAGUCUCAUGUGUUACAUUAACACAAUUUGUUUGUUGAUGCUUUUAUUUUAACACUGCCCAUUAAUGUGCAGUUUUUAAUGCACAGUCUGUAUAGUUUAUCCUCUAUUUAUAAUUUCUGAUGCUUCUUGUACUGUUUAAUUUUCUGGACUUAUGUGUAUGUUUAUUGUACCAACCCCCACAACAACUUCUUCUUAUGUGAGAAGACGAUUGUUACCAGACUCACAUUCUGAUAAGAAUUGAGUGUGGUAAUGGCAGGCUAUUUAUUUCAUACACAAAAAUACUGAACAAGCUGUUUUCUCAAAGUUUGCACUGUUUGCAUGGCUUCUGUUAUCCAUAUGUAGUGUUUAUUCAGUGUUUAUUCAGUUCAUAUUGUUUUUUUCGCAGGUAUAGUCAAACAGUGAGGGAACGUUAUUUAAAAUGCACCCGAAAGAAUGGCGGCUUGUUGCCCCGUAGCUCCAUGAUUUUUACCUUUUUAGGUCAUUCUUAUUGUGUUAUUGUGGUUGCUUUUUGUCAGACUUGUUCUUGUUUUUCUGUAAACCAACAUGGUUUUUGGCCAUUUUUUCCUGGACUUUCUGUGUUUGGCUGUCAUUGGCUGUGGAAUUCACCAUGAGACACGAUCCAUGCCACUGUUGCUAUGCAACUGACCAAACAACUGGUUUAUUAAACUGUUUAUUUUAUUUUACUA